UUCCGCGUGCAGGACGAAGGCCUUCGGGUUGUAAACUGCUUUUGUACGGAACGAAAAGGUCUCUAUUAAUACUAGGGGCUCAUGACGGUACCGUAAGAAUAAGCACCGGCUAACUACGUGCCAGCAGCCGCGGUAAUACGUAGGGUGCAAGCGUUAAUCGGAAUUACUGGGCGUAAAGCGUGCGCAGGCGGUUAUAUAAGACAGAUGUGAAAUCCCCGGGCUCAACCUGGGAACUGCAUUUGUGACUGUAUAGCUGGAGUGCGGCAGAGGGGGAUGGAAUUCCGCGUGUAGCAGUGAAAUGCGUAGAUAUGCGGAGGAACACCGAUGGCGAAGGCAAUCCCCUGGGCCUGCACUGACGCUCAUGCACGAAAGCGUGGGGAGCAAACAGGAUUAGAUACCCUGGUAGUCCACGCCCUAAACGAUGUCAACUGGUUGUUGGGUCUUCACUGACUCAGUAACGAAGCUAACG
rnacentral:rRNA from 1 species